rnacentral:rRNA from 1 species
CCAGACUCCUACGGGAGGCAGCAGUGGGGAAUAUUGCACAAUGGGGGAAACCCUGAUGCAGCGACGCCGCGUGAGUGAAGAAGUAUCUCGGUACGUAAAGCUCUAUCAGCAGGGAAGAAAAUGACGGUACCUGACUAAGAAGCCCCGGCUAACUACGUGCCAGCAGCCGCGGUAAUACGUAGGGGGCAAGCGUUAUCCGGAUUUACUGGGUGUAAAGGGAGCGUAGACGGCAGCACAAGUCUGGAGUGAAAUCCCGGGGCUUAACCCCGGAACUGCUUUGGAAACUGUGCAGCUAGAGUGCAGGAGAGGUAAGCGGAAUUCCUAGUGUAGCGGUGAAAUGCGUAGAUAUUAGGAGGAACACCAGUGGCGAAGGCGGCUUACUGGACUGUAACUGACGUUGAGGCUCGAAAGCGUGGGGAUCGAACAGGAUUAGAUACCCCCGUA